GUGGGUACAGCUCAGUGGUGGAGGGCUUGCUUAGCAUGCAUGAGGUCCUGGGUUCAAUCCCCAGUAACUCCA
rnacentral:tRNA from 1 species